UGAAUACGAGAUGCUACGGCGUCGAAGCAGUGUAUGUCAGACUUCCAAGAAAAGCUCGCAAUGUCAUAAAUAAAGAAUGCCUGUACCAUAACCGACACAGGUGGGUAGGUAGAGUAUACUAAGGGGCGCGAGAUAACUCUCUCUAAGGAACUCGGCAAAAUAACUCCGUAACUUCGGGAGAAGGAGUGCCUUCUUUAAGAAGGUUGCAAUAACAAGAUCCAAGCAACUGUUUAUCAAGAACACAGGUCUCCGCUAAGUCGUAAGACGAUGUAUGGGGGCUGACGCCUGCCCAGUGCCAGAAGGUUAAAGAAGUUGGUUAGCUUUUGCGAAGCUGAUGACUGAAGCCCUGGUGAACGGCGGCCGUAACGAUAACGGUCCUAAGGUAGCGAAAUUCCUUGUCGGGUAAGUUCCGACCCGCACGAAAGGCGUAAUGAUUUGGAUACUGUCUCGGAGAGGGACUCGGUGAAAUAGACUUGUCUGUGAAGAUGCGGACUACCUGCACCAGGACAGAAAGACCCUAUGAAGCUUUACUGUAACUUGAAAUUGAAAUUGGACUUUAUUUGCGCAGUAUAGGUGGAAGGCGUUGAAAGUAAUCUUGCGGGAUUAGUGGAGCCAUCAGUGAGAUACCACUCCUAUAAUGUUAGAUUUCUAACUUUGGAUCAUGAUCUGGUCAAAGAACAGUUUCAGGCGGGCAGUUUGACUGGGCGGUCGCCUCCCAAAUGGUAACGGAGGCGUACAAAGGUUUCCUCUGAACGGGUAGAAAUCGUAUCUAGAGUGUAAAGGCAUAAGGAAGCUUGACUGUGAGACCUACAAGUCGAGCAGGGACGAAAGUCGGUCUUAGUGAUCUGACGGUGCUGAGUGGAAAGGCCGUCACUCAACGGAUAAAAGUUACUCUAGGAUAACAGGCUGAUCUCCCCCAAGAGUUCACAUCGACGGGGAGGUUUGGCACCUCGAUGUCGGCUCAUCGCAUCCUGGGGCGGUAGUACGUCCCAAGGGUUGGGCUGUUCGCCCAUGAAAGCGGUACGCGAGCUGGGUUCAGAACGUCGUGAGACAGUUCGGUCCAUAUCCGGUGUAGGCGUUAGAAUAUUGAGAGGAGCCUUCUUUAGUACGAGAGGACCGAGAAGGACAUACCUCUGGUGUACCAGUUAUCGUGCCAACGGUAAACGCUGGGUAGCUAUGUAUGGAGAGGAUAACCGCUGAAAGCAUCUAAGUGGGAAGCCCACCUCAAGAUGAG
rnacentral:rRNA from 1 species